GCCACCACCACUAGUCACAACACAGCCACCAUCAUCACCACGACCACCACCACUGUAGUCACAACACAGCCACCAUCAUCACCACGACCUCUGUCACCACCACGAGUAGGGUAGAGACUGAGAGUGAAGGCUGGCAACUCCCACCACGAGUAGGGUAGAGACUGAGAGUGAAGGCUGGCAACCCCCAUCACCACCACCACGAGGAGGGUAGAGACUGAGAGUGAAGGCUGGCAACCCCCACCAUCACCACCACGAGUAGGGUAGAGACUGAGAGUGAAGGCUGGCAACCCCCACCAUCACCACGAGUAGGGUAGAGACUGAGAGUGAAGGCUGGCAACUCCCACCAUCACCACGAGUAGGGUAGAGACUGAGAGUGAAGGCUGGCAACCCCCACCAUCACCACCACGAGUAGGGUAGAGACUGAGAGUGAAGGCUGGCAACUCCCACCAUCACCACGAGUAGGGUAGAGACUGAGAGUGAAGGCUGGCAACCCCCAUCACCACCACGAGUAGGGUAGAGACUGAGAGUGAAGGCUGGCAACCCCCAUCACCACCACGAGGAGGGUAGAGAGGUGAGAGUGAAGGCUGGCAACCCCCUUCACCACCACGAGUAGGGUAGAGACUGAGAGUGAAGGCUGGCAACCCCCACCAUCACCACCACGAGUAGGGUAGAGACUGAGAGUGAAGGCUGGCAACCCCCACCAUCACCACGAGUAGGGUAGAGACUGAGAGUGAAGGCUGGCAACCCCCACCAUCACCACCACGAGGAGGGUAGAGACUGAGAGUGAAGGCUGGCAACCCCCACCACCACCACCACGAGUAGGGUAGAGACUGAGAGUGAAGGCUGGCAACCCCCACCACCACCACCACGAGUAGGGUAGAGACUGAGAGUGAAGGCUGGCAACCCCCACCACCACCACCACGAGUAGGGUAGAGACUGAGAGUGAAGGCUGGCAACCCCCACCACGAGUAGGGUAGAGAGGUGAGAGUGAAGGCUGGCAACCCCCACCACCACCACCACGAGUAGGGUAGAGACUGAGAGUGAAGGCUGGCAACCCCCACCACCACCACGAGUAGGGUAGAGACUGAGAGUGAAGGCUGGCAACCCCCACCACCACCACCACGAGUAGGGUAGAGACUGAGAGUGAAGGCUGGCAACCCCCUUCCCCUCCCCCUUCCCCGGCGUCACCGCCGAGUGCACCGUCGGUAUCUGUGCCGGGCCCUUCCCCGUGGGCCCGGCGCUCGAAUCUGGUGCCAGAGCAAGGAGCAAGUCGUGGCAUCGUUGGGCGCCAGGUCUCUGUCGUACCUCGCCGGCCCUGGUAUCUCAGCUGCUACAGGGA